GGCUUGACUUUGCGUUUUUCUACCACCAGUCUCCUAACAGAGGUUUGUGCCCACUUUCCUUGCCUAAGGAGAAAAGCAGAACUGCUCCCUGGUUGUAGACAUUUCUGGAUAAUCAAACACAAGGUAAGGGAGGAGGGCUGGAGCAAUGACACCUCCAAGCUUCAGGAGACCACUGUGCACCUGAAAAAAUACAUAAACACAGAAAGUGGCAGGUGUGACUGUGAAAUACUGAGCCCAGCUAAGGCCACUGCUGGUUUCCACACAAGAGGAUUUAGCAAAAGAAGCUACUUCUCAACUCUUAAACACAACCAGAGCAGUACUAGGGAGUGGGGGAGAAGCAGUGGGCUGGUGGGACCAUCUCUGCACCCUCCCCACAGGAGGCAUCUGCAGAGCAGGCAGGGCUGGCUGCAGCCCCUUGGGUGCUCUGCUGCAUCACU